rnacentral:lncRNA from 1 species
UUUUAGAUCCAAGGAACUAUUUCUUUUCUCUUUUUGUUUUUUUGAGAGAGAUAAGUAGCACGCUGGACACUUUGUUUAUUUCAUUUAGAAAUAAACUUAACUAGAAAUGUGAAUUAACUAGGAUUCGAACUUGGAUCUCGGGUACCAACCACCAAACCUUUUGCCACUUGUUAUAGGGACGGUCGGUUCAAGGAACUAUUUCUUAUUUGUAUAUUUUGUGGGGUUAAACUAUUAAGAAUUAAGUAAUGUAAAUUUUUUUUAUUUUCUAAAAUU